GUCUUGGUGGCUCAAUUGGUUGGAGCAUUGUCCCUUACAUGAAAAUGUUAUGGGUUCCAUUCCCGGUCAGGACA
rfam:Myotis davidii contig50435, whole genome shotgun sequence.